rnacentral:lncRNA from 1 species
AAAUAUUCUAAUUUCUUGUAAAACAAUAUUUAUAGAGUCAUCGGUAAAUAAUUUUUGUAAUGUAAAAGCUAAAUAAAUUCAUAUGUACUAUAAUACAGAUAAUCGGGAUAUAAAAUUUACUUUACAGUGACUCGUGGGCCCGUAAGGAACAAAAGUGCACAAAGGCAGUAAACCUACAAUUUUUGGAGUAGUAAAGUCGACUAUAAUCCUUGACGAUAUCUGCUAUCCACAAGCUACCUCGGGCCUAAAAUUGUUGAAAAAGAGGGUGGUAAGAUUAUAAAAUCCCAGUGAGUAAACAGAUACCAUCUAGACAAUCUAAAGUCGAGUAAAUAGAGACAGGUAAAACAGUUUAACAUACUGAAAUUCAUCACCUUUCAACUUGUUUCAACCAAAUAAAAUCAAUUCAUAUAAAUCAAGUAAUUAACACUACUUAUGAAUUUCUUAAAACUUUGGCACGUGCCAAAAUCAUUCUCAUACCCAGUUAUCAGGGAUACCUUGAUCAAGGGUGUGAGACCUUGACUUUUAUAGACUCGUAAAGGAAAGUUUACGCGAUAUCCCUAAUCAAGGGUAAUUUCAUUAUUUCCUUAGUAAGCCCAUAAAAGUAAGAUUUUAAACAAUAUUAUGGCCUAAGUAUGCCUAAGGCAUAAAUGGAUGAUGAAAUUAGGGGUAAAAUAAAAAAAAAAUUUUGAUGAUUUUCAAGAUAAGGGCAAAAUGGUCAUUUUUCACAUCGUGUUAAAAUUUUAAGUUUUCAUGAACCCGAGUAUGUCUAGACCAUUAUGGACCUUGUCCCAAUGUCAAAGGAGUAAAAAGAUUUCAUAAAGGGUUGAAGGAGAGUAAGUUAAUUAGUGGAGGGGUAAUUUGGUAAUUUCAAGGGAAUGGAUAAGAUUGGCUAUAAAUAUCUUUCUUUCAGCAGCUUCUUCUCCCAUUUUCCAGCAACUUGUCUUCUUCUUCUUCUUCCAUCUCACGUUGCUUCCAACCUCCAUGGAAGCUUGAUAUGGAGCUUGCAUGAUUUUCUCUCUUUAACUCUAGUUUUCACACUUUUGUGCCCUUAUGACUAGAACCCUUGUAUUCUUCCACUCUCUCUCCUUAAAACCCUUGAAAAAUCUUAUUUUCACUAGUUGGGUGUUCUAGAGAGAGAAAGAGAGAAUUACCCCAUUUGUGUGGAAGCUAUUGGAAGAGAAUUCAACUACAAAGGAAGCCUAGGGUGAAUGAUGCACUAAGCUUGGUUUUUAGCUAUGGAUAAUGGCUAGUAAAUUAGAUUAUGAGCUGUUUUAUUGUUGAGGAUGUUCAUUCAUUUUAUAGUGAUUUAGAUAGUGAACAUAGAUAGCCAUUUAAAGUGGCAAUUGGGGGUUAAAUAAGAGAUAGCUUUUAGGGUUUAUAGUAUGUGAAUUAACAUAAUGGGGAUGUUAAUGUGAUGGUAGGUUUCAAGGAAGCUCCAUCAUCCCAUUUGGACAAUUAAGGGAAUUGGAGUCAUCUAAAGGCUCAACAAUAUACUAGUGAGUGGACUGCCUAUCAAAAAUUAUUUUGAGAAUAUGACUGUUUUGUACAAAGUGUUUGAAUGAUUUUAUACAACUUUUCCCAAAAAUGAAUGCCUUGGGAACAAGCUCUUGAGAAAUGGUUUAUUUUAUGAUAUGUGGUUAUUAUGGAUUUCUAUGCGGCUGCAUUAGGUUGAUAUACAUAUAUGUUUGAAUAUGGUGUUGUGUAAUUAUAUUGACUCGGCUAUGUGCGAGUAGGGAGUGCGCAUAAGCCGAGGAUGACCCGAUUAUGUGUGAGUAGGGAGUGCACAUAACUCGGUGAUGACCUAGCCAUGUGCGAGUAGGGACUGCGCAUGAGCUGGUGAUGAUGAUGAUGGGAUGGUGUGUAUGAUGAUGAUGGGAUGGUAUGCAUAAUGAUGAUGGGUAUAUACGUAUACAUAUAUACAUAUGUAAAUAUGUGUGUUAUAGGAAAUUAAUGGGCAAUGGUAUAUGGUUGUAAUGCAUGUGAAACUUGACAUGUUAAACCUUGGGAAAUUGUUAUGUGUUUCGUGUUGGUUUGGACAUUUCAGCACGAUGGUUUUUCCUUGGAAAAAAGGGCAAAAUUUUGCAUUGGUGCCUUGUUUCUCACUACAGUGAAAAUCAUUCUCACUGAAGCGAAAAACUCUCGGGUUUUGGAGGGGUAGGCUGGUUGAAAACUCGCUACAGCGAGGAUACAUAUCGCUGCAGCGAGAAUGACACUGUAGCUUCUCACUGCAACAAAAUUCAUUCUCGCUGCAACGAGAAACUUUUUGUUUCUGGGUUAAAAUUUCGCUGCAGCUAGAAACUUUUUGUUUCUGGGUUACAAUUUUGCUGCAGUGAGAUUGAAUCUCGUUGCAGCAAAAAACUUUCUGUUUUGGUCUCCUAUCUUGUCCAAUUGCUGCCCUAUUUUUCACUUCUUUGCUACCAUAUCUAAGCUUGGACUUCCAACAUUAAGGAUUAAAUGAGUUAAAUUUAAAAUAAGGAGGUUUAGUGAGAAACCCUCAGCCAGUUAAGAAACCCUCGUUCGGCUAAUAACUUAAUCCCAACGUCGCAGUAGCGGAAAGGCAUUCACGCUGUAGCGAAGAUUCGUUGUCAUAUUUGACUUGCUUGCUUAUCAUUGAAGUUUUCAUUCUUCAAAUAGUUUGUUAUGUAUGGGUUCAUGAUCUUCAAAUGAUUAAUCAUUUAAGGGCUUGAUGAGGGGUUUUUAAUAUGAAUGGAACCAAAUUGCAUUGUUUUGAAACAAGUGCAUCAUGAUUUUUAAUUCUCCCUUGUUGUUGCUUGUUCCCUUCCUUGUUCACUCACUGGGUUUAUACUCACCGUUUUCAACUUCAUGUUUUCAAAUCAUGAGGCAGCCGGUAACUAGGACGAGGUGUCCUCGUAGACUUGUAUCCAUCUUUUGUUAGGUGUCUCGGCAUUCAGUAGCUGUACAUUCGUUCGAGUCCCUCCGUUGGAAGUCGAGUAUUCUUUUGUUGUGUAUAGACAAACUUAAUGUAAAUUAUUAAGAUGCAUGUUGUAGAUAAUGUAUACACACUUGUUUUGUAUGCCAAUAUGAGGUGGCAAUGUUUAAUAUUAUUUUGAUUCUAAGUUAUGAAAUAUGACUUAGCAGUUUAUGAUGGAAUGAUGAACAUGUCAGAUUAAUAGGCUUGCUUGGGCUUAGUGGACUAUGUCCAUUGGGCCCAUGUGCCGGUCAUGGCCCAAAAUUUGGGUCAUGACAGAGGGCUAUCCCAAUCGAGUCCACCAAGGCUGUUAAAAAGUCAUGUACGCAUAAAUUAUGUUUUUAUUUUGAAAACAUAGCCGUUCAUUGGCGUUGGCUGAGUUCCCCCUCACGUGUUGGUUUGACGUGAAGUGAACUCUAAAAGUGUUAACCUCAGCAGUUAUCCACCCUUGCCUCUCAUACUGAGGUAAGAAUAUAAUGGGGUUACCGUGCCCCUCUAAUAGGCUGGUCCACGGAACCCGUUCACUGCAGUAAGCUAAUAAUUUGUGAGACCCUGUCAGGCUCGAUUAAAAGACGGUAUUGUACCGAGUGGUACAACUAAGUUAAAUCGAGCCUUGAACUAGUUAAAAUAGAAAUUCUAAGAGGAAUUUGAAAAUUUUAAAACCAACAGAAUGGCUUAGAAUAGUGAUUUGGAGUUCAAGGUCCAGUUUGGAGUCCAUCAGAAAAUUGACCAAUUAGGGACAAAACGGUCAUUUUACCAUUUGAUGAUAAAAUGGAGACUUUUAGCCAAGAUUUGAUCACAUUUGACCAAGAAUAAUUAUAUGAAAUAUAAUUAUGAUUAUUGGAGUAUAAAAUGAUGUUUAGCAGUGAAAAAAUGUGAUUCCCUGUAUUUAUGGAGCACAAGGGCAAAAUGGUAAUUUUGCCACUAGAGGACUAAAAGAAAAUUUUUUUAAACAAUUUUUGCCCCAUUUGAUUAAUAUUGAUCAAUAUUAGUGUUAUUUUAGGUUGAAAAGUAGAAAUAAUGAGAUUCCGGUACAUUUCGGAGUAUAAGGGUAAAAUCGUAAUUUUUUCAUCCCGGGGGCAAAUCAGUAAAAGUUUCGCCCCAACACUUGUCAAGACCAAGGGAUUUUAAUUGUGGUAGGAUUGGAUAAAUACCAGAAUAUUUGUGGUGGAAAAUUAAGAAGAAAAAGUCAAAAAGUUAAAAAUUUGGCCAAUAAGCAUGUGACACAUGGCAUGCUUGAUUAUUUUAUUAUUUUCUAUAGAAAUCAGCCCAUUAAAUCCCCAAUUCCCUCACCAUAUUCGGCCUAGACAUCCAGCAACAAGAAAAAAGGAAGAACAAAAGGAAAAACAAGAAAACCUAGGUGGAAAUUCAAAGAAAAAGUGAAGAAAUCAAGGAAACAAGCUAGGUAAGUUAAAAUUUCUUUAAUUCUCCUUGAUACCUAGCUUACCCAUGCUUUUGUUCUUGAUUUCCAUGGUUGAAUAUUGAGUUAUCAUGAUGAAUUCAAUUCUGAAAAAUGGGUAUGGAAGAGGAAUUGUUGUUGGAAUAAUUUGAUUUUAGACUAUGUUAGUGUUUAGGGAUAGUUAAGCAUGGUUAUGAACAAAAACACAAAAGAAAUAUUCAAUUUCUCUAGGGUUCCUUGUUGGCCGAACCAUGAGGGCUGAAUAUCAAUGGGGGAUUGUUUUUAUUUCAAGGAAAAUGGCAUGGAAAAUGAUGAAGUAAGGUGAAACGGUUAUGUAGAAAAAAAUUCGAUGCUAGUACACCAAAUGACCAAAUUUUUUCUAUAAGGAAUUGUGAGGGUUCUAAUGCUGAAUUUGGCUUUAUUUAAAUGUAUGUGGUAAAUUAAGGUAUUAGAGGAGAAAUGAAUUAAUUUGGAGGUGAUUUGGACACAAUCGCCGAUUAAUCGGGUGAUCGGUCGAAUUUAAUCGAUACCGUGAUUAAGCGGUAAUCGGACAUAUUUUUGCAUUUACAUAUCAAGCAUUAGUAGUUUAAAUUAAUUUAUAUCAAUUUAGGGACAAUAUAGUAAAUUCCUCGACUUUGUUAUUUGUCAAGGUGGUGAGACGUCCGGAAAAGGCAAAGGAAUUACGCUUGAGGACUAUUAGUCAGAGUUCACCCGGAAUCCGAAUUUUCGACACCUGUGAGUGGACUGCCUAUCAAAAUUGUUUUGGGAAUAUGACUGUUUUGAACAAAGUGUUUGAAUGAUUUUAUGCAAUUUUUCAUGAAAAUGAAUGCCUUGGGAACAAGCUUUUGAGAAAAGGUUUAUGUUAUGAAAUGUGGUUAUUAUGGAUUUCUAUGUGGCUGCAUUAUGUUGAUAUACAUAUAUGCUUGAAUAUAAUGUUGUGUAAUUAUGUUGACUCGGCUAUGUGCGAGUAGGGAGUGCGCAUAAGCCGAGGAUGACCCGGUUAUGUGCGAGUAGGGAGUGCGCAUAACCCGGUGAUGACCCAGCCAUGUGCGAGUAGGGAGUGCGCAUGAGCUGGUGAUGAUGAUGAUGAGCCGGUGAUGAUGAUGAUGGGUUGGUGAGAUGAUGAUGAUGGGUAUAUACGUAUAUAUAUAUAUACAUAUGUAAAUAUGUGUGAUAUAGCAAAUUGAUGGACAAUGAUUUAUGGUUGUAAUGUACAUGAAAGUUGACACAUUGUACUUUGAGAAUUUUCAUGAAUUUUAGGUUGAUUUUAUUAGUUUAGUAGGAUGGCUUUUUGUUGAGUGAGGAAAAAUGUUUCUCUUGUUGCUCUGUUUUCACUGCAGCGAAAUUCAUGCUCGCUGUAGCAAAAACCUCUAGGGUUUGGAGGGGUUUUAAAUAGGAAUGAACUAAAUUACAUUGUUUUGAAACAAGUGCUUCAUGAUUUUAAAUUCUCCCUAAUUGUUGCUUGUUCCCUUCCUUGUUCACUCACUGAGUAUUGUACUCACGUUUUAUAGAAAUUCAUGUUUUCAGAUCAGGUGACUGUUGGACCCUAGAUCGAGGAGUCCCCGUAGUGCAUCUCCUAGGUAUGUGUCUAGCAUUCGAUAGUAAUCCCUUUUAUUGUAAAUGUCUCUGCUGGAAGUCAUGAGUCCUUUUGUAUUAUGAAUACAAUCUAACAAUGUGAAUAUGUGUAUGCAAUGUAAAUUGCUAAAUACAUGACUGGUAUAGUGCAUGUAUAUUAUUAUCGAUAAUGCCCUUAUGUGUUGGCUAUGUUCACACCCGAAAAAAAGUGUGUGUGUAAGCAUGAUAUGAUAAAUUUGUUAAGCAAAGGUAAAUGGAUAGGCUUGCUUGGGCUUAGUGAGCUAUGCUCAUUGAGCUCAUGCGCUGGUCAUGGCCCGGGAAAUUGGGUCGUGACAUAAUUAUUCCACCAAUCAAUGAAAUUUAACAGAAUGACAUGGCAAUUAUUGUAAUUCACAGCCUUUCAAGGCUAAAUACACAGUUCAUAUAUAUUUCAACACAAAUACCAAUUCAGCCAUUCAUACAAAUAUUGUCAUAAGUCAUUCGAUUCAAACCAUGACAACACAUGAAAACAGUCUCCAAUUACUCUAUUUUCAAACCAUCAUUCAAUUUUAAAACAAUUUUAUGAAAUCAUUUCAUUAAAUCACAUUUUGCUUAUAAAAUCGAAAAAUUAAUCAUUUAACUCAUUUUUCAUAAAAUUCACAAAAUCGGAUAAAAACCACUUUAGAUAAGUAAGAUGAUAGUAAGGUUACUCACAGUAUUAGGAGUUCGAUAUACUCCUUUUCUUGGUCUUCGGGCACAACUCUUUAACCUUAUUAAAGGGCUCACCACCUAUACAUCAUACGUGACACAAAUUUCAAUAAAUUGAGUCAAUUUAUCAUAAACUAUUUCAAGCUCUAUAAAUCUAUAUGAAUGCACGAAAUGUGAUGCAAAAUGUUUAAAUAGCUGUUUAAAUACGGUAUUCGACCUAAUUUGCACUAUUCUCGGUGUCAUUGGCUAAAACCUCCAAUUUAACUCCAAAUCAAUUUCUUUCACUUUUUACACUCCAAUUAUACUUAAAAUACCUUAAUGACUGUCAAUAUGAUUCAAUUUAUCAGUCUGGACCAUAAAUUGCACAUGUCUAUGCAUUAGGUAAAAAUUUAGAUUUUCAUGCCAAAAUUUCCCAUUAAAUUUCUAGCCUCACCAAUCAUUAAAUACCGCCAAAAUAUCAUGAAAUAUCAUCAAUUUCAGCCUCAAUAUCCUCCCUAGAAAAUUCGGCCUCUUGUGGGUUUGUGAAGAACAAAGUGAUUCCUUGCUAGAUUUUCAUACUUUCCAUUACCAAACAACCAAAAGCACUUAAUUAGCUUGAAAUCUAGCAAAAUCAAUGCUUAAAACCUCUCCUCUCAAAUUCGGCUAGCAUGGGUUCAUCAUGCAAACUUGAGUUCUAAGCAUGGAAAUGAAAAAGAAAGCAUGGGUAGUGUAAAUCACAAGAUAAAAUCACAAAAUUUUACCUUUAUUAGCUUAAUCCCUUGAAAUCCCACACUUUUUCUUCAAUUUUCCCACCUAAGGUUUGUGUUCUUUCCUUUCCUCUUCACUUCAUGCUUUGGC